rnacentral:rRNA from 1 species
UACGGAGGGUGCAAGCGUUAAUCGGAAUUACUGGGCGUAAAGCGUGCGUAGGCGGUUCGUUAAGUCUGUUGUGAAAGCCCCGGGCUCAACCUGGGAAUGGCAAUGGAUACUGGCGAGCUAGAGUGUGUCAGAGGUAGCUGGAAUUCCUGGUGUAGCGGUGGAAUGCGUAGAUAUCAGGAGGAACACCGGUGGCGAAGGCGGGUCUCUGGGCCGAUACUGACGCUGAGGAGCGAAAGCGUGGGGAGCGAACAGG